rnacentral:rRNA from 1 species
UACGUAGGGGGCUAGCGUUGUCCGGAAUCAUUGGGCGUAAAGCGCGUGCAGGCGGUCCGGUAAGUCCGCUGUGAAAGUCGAGGGCUCAACCCUCGAAUGCCGGUGGAUACUGUCGGGCUUGAGUACGGAAGAGGCGAGUGGAAUUCCUGGUGUAGCGGUGAAAUGCGCAGAUAUCAGGAGGAACACCAAUUGCGAAGGCAGCUCGCUGGGACGUUACUGACGCUGAGACGCGAAAGCGUGGGGAGCAAACAGG